rnacentral:rRNA from 1 species
AACGAACGCUGGCGGCAGGCUUAACACAUGCAAGUCGAACGAGAUCUUCGGAUCUAGUGGCAGACGGGUGAGGAACACGUGGGAACAUCCCUUUCAGUUCGGAAUAACGUUGGGAAACUAACGCUAAUACCGGAUACGUCCUUCGGGAGAAAGAUUUAUCGCUGAAAGAUUGGCCCGCGUCUGAUUAGCUAGUUGGUGAGGUAACGGCUCACCAAGGCUACGAUCAGUAGCUGAUCUGAGAGGAUGAUCAGCCACAUUGGGACUGAGACACGGCCCAAACUCCUGCGGGAGGCAGCAGUGGGGAAUAUUGGACAAUGGGCGCAAGCCUGAUCCAGCCAUGCCGCGUGAGUGAUGACGGCCUUCGGGUUGUAAAGCUCUUUUGUCCGGGAAGAUAAUGACUGUACCGGAAGAAUAAGCCCCGGCAAACCUCGUGCCAGCCGCCGCAGUAA